UGCCAGCCGCCGCGGUAAUACGGAGGGUGCAAGCGUUAAUCGGAAUUACUGGGCGUAAAGCGCUCGUAGGCGGCCCGAUCAGUCAGAUGUGAAAUCCCAGGGCUCAACCUUGGAACUGCAUCUGAUACUGUCGAGCUAGAGUGUGUGAGAGGGAAGUGGAAUUCCGGGUGUAGCGGUGAAAUGCGUAGAUAUCCGGAGGAACAUCAGUGGCGAAGGCGACUUUCUGGCACAACACUGACGCUGAGGAGCGAAAGCGUGGGGAGCAAACAGGAUUAGAUA
rnacentral:rRNA from 1 species